CGUGCUUAACACAUGCAAGUCGAACGGUGAAGCCCAGCUUGCUGGGUGGAUCAGUGGCGAACGGGUGAGUAACACGUGAGCAACCUGCCCCUGACUCUGGGAUAAGCGCUGGAAACGGCGUCUAAUACUGGAUACGAACCGCGACCGCAUGGUCAGUGGUUGGAAAGAAUUUCGGUUGGGGAUGGGCUCGCGGCCUAUCAGCUUGUUGGUGAGGUAAUGGCUCACCAAGGCGUCGACGGGUAGCCGGCCUGAGAGGGUGACCGGCCACACUGGGACUGAGACACGGCCCAGACUCCUACGGGAGGCAGCAGUGGGGAAUAUUGCACAAUGGGCGCAAGCCUGAUGCAGCAACGCCGCGUGAGGGAUGACGGCCUUCGGGUUGUAAACCUCUUUUAGCAGGGAAGAAGCGAAAGUGACGGUACCUGCAGAAAAAGCGCCGGCUAACUACGUGCCAGCAGCCGCGGUAAUACGUAGGGCGCAAGCGUUAUCCGGAAUUAUUGGGCGUAAAGAGCUCGUAGGCGGUUUGUCGCGUCUGCUGUGAAAUCCCGAGGCUCAACCUCGGGCCUGCAGUGGGUACGGGCAGACUAGAGUGCGGUAGGGGAGAUUGGAAUUCCUGGUGUAGCGGUGGAAUGCGCAGAUAUCAGGAGGAACACCGAUGGCGAAGGCAGAUCUCUGGGCCGUAACUGACGCUGAGGAGCGAAAGGGUGGGGAGCAAACAGGCUUAGAUACCCUGGUAGUCCACCCCGUAAACGUUGGGAACUAGUUGUGGGGUCCAUUCCACGGAUUCCGUGACGCAGCUAACGCAUUAA
rnacentral:rRNA from 1 species